AUGUUUCAAAUUGGGUACAAUACAAGUACUAGCAAAAAUUGGCUGGAAGUUUGUGUCCGUGAACUUCACGCACACAUUGGUGUGAACAGAAUUGUGGAGUAUAUCUCUUCUCGCUUACUCCAUCUAGUGUUUUUCUUGUACUCUUUUACUGUUUGUUUCUGUUAUUUAUGA